rnacentral:rRNA from 1 species
UACGAAGGGGGGCUAGCGUUGUUCGGAUUUACUGGGCGUAAAGCGCACGUAGGCGGAUCGUUAAGUCAGGGGUGAAAUCCUGGAGCUCAACUCCAGAACUGCCUUUGAUACUGGCGAUCUCGAGUCCGGAAGAGGUGAGUGGAACUCCUAGUGUAGAGGUGGAAUUCGUAGAUAUUAGGAAGAACACCAGUGGCGAAGGCGGCUCACUGGUCCGGAACUGACGCUGAGGUGCGAAAGCGUGGGGAGCAAACAGG